GGGAGGGUGAUGAAUCAAAGACCCAAAAACCAUCGAAAUAACCCCAAAAAAGAGCCAAAAAACUCCUCAAAUUUCAGGGAAUUCUCAGCCCUUUGGUUCAGUGAAGCAAAAAUGACGUUUAAUAGUAAAACAAAUGAUGUUUUUGUAUGAAAAUACGAUGUUUUUUUUCUUCAGAGUCUUUCUGAGUGUAAAAGGCCCUUCAGGAAACGCCUUGAAAUCCGAUAUGGAAAAGGUCCCCGGUGCCGCCCGUGUCGUCAGAGCAUUAAUUAACGUUAAUUGAGGACUAAUGAGAGGUCUGGUGUGUUUUUGGGGUGUCUUUAAUCUUAGGGUGUUGUUACCUGGAGCGGAAAUGCCCCUAAAAUGCAUUAAAAUGGGGUUCGGUUUCCCAUUUAAAGGGCCGAGCGUGGCUGCAGCGUGACUCAGCACUGCUGCAGAAUGGGCUGAAAUAGGGAUAUUUUGGUGCUUUUUGGGCCAAAUUGAGUGAGAAGGGGCGGAUGGGAUGGUGGGGUAAGAACGGGGAUGGGAAACUGCUGGGAAAAGAGGGAAUUAAAUGGGGGAAAAUAAAGAGUUUUCAGCGUUUUCCAACUCACCGAGUGAAAUGAGUGGGGGAAAAAAAAGGUCAAUUUUGGGGUGUUUUCCUUUGUUUAAAAAGGAAAGGGGUUGGAUUUUUAACCCCCAUCCCAAAGAUUUGGGGCCUUUUUUGUUGUUGGGGGGGGGUUGGCAAAAUGCAGUGGGGAUAAAAACGGGGGAGGGGGAAUAAUAUGGGAAUAAAAGGAGCAAAAACAACAGCGAAAACGCUGGAAAAUGGCGUCAGAAAAAGGACGGAGGUGUUUAAAAUGGGGGGAGGGGGGGAAAAAAAGGGGGAAAGGAGAAAAAAAUAAAGUGAAAUUUAACCCUUCCCAUAGUGAAACAAAGGAGGCUGACGUCGUUCCAACAGCAGCGGUUUGGGGGAGGGGGGCACUCCAUAAAAAUAAUAAAAUAAUAAUAAUAAUAAUGAAUAAUAAUAAAAGAGGCUUUGUCGUGCAUGAAGAAGGGGUGGGGGGUGGCUUUUUCUUUCUUUUUUCUUUCAUUUUAGGACAUUUUGGGGGCGUUUGGGGGACUAUUUUACCACCUGCCCCCCCCUUCCCUCCUCCUCCCCCCCUCCUGCGGAGGCAGAGCCGCAGUACAGCAGCUCAGCCCUAUAAAGCUCCACCCCAGCUCGGGGUGUGCAGGGGGAGCAGAGAGGCAGAGGAGCAGGGAAGAGCUGCAGAAAAAAAAAGAAAAUGACUGAAUUUGGGCAAUUUCUGAGAUUGGAGGUUUUUGGGAGAGGUGCAGCGGCUCUGAUUGGCUCUGCAAGCUGUUUGCUUAUUGCUCUGCUUUCCCCUUUUAUUUCAGAUGGGGCUUUGAGAUGAGGAAAAGGAGAGAAGUGAGGAGAAAAAUGUGAGCAUGGAGGAGCGGCAGGGAGAGCAAGCGAGAUUUGAGGUGAAAACGUGGCUUUUUUUGUCAGCUGAAUGGGGGCAGAAAGAGAAGGCUGAGCUUGAAAAUGGGAAGCUGUGGAGCGAAAGCUUUGGCUCUUAAGAGAAGAUGGAUGGAUGGAUGGAAGGAGGAGAAAUGGAGAGCGAAGAGGAAAGGGAGAAGUGAGCAAGAUGGAGGAAACAAAACUGGGUGGCAGUGCGGAAAUGGAAGGAGGUGCAGAGCGAGGUGAGCGACGGCUUCACGCCGACGUGGCCCCAAGCCCGGCCCCCCCAUGGCAACACAGCCAAAAAAGCUGCAUUCUUAACCCAAAACGUGGCAAGAGGAGGAGGAGAAAAGGCGUUUUGGUCCCCGUUGGAGCUGUUUUGGGGGCGUUUUAGGAGAAUUUGGCAUUUCAGAGCCGGGAAGAGCGGAGGCGGCGACGAGGCAGGGAGGAUUUAGAGGAGAAAAAAGGACUUUUUGGUUCAAAAUAUGUAUUGGGGUCCGUAGGACGGAAGGCGGAGGGCAAAAUGGAAACGGGAGCAAAAGAGGAAAUAAUG